rnacentral:rRNA from 1 species
UACGGGGGGGGGCAAGCGUUGUUCGGAAUUACUGGGCGUAAAGGGCUUGUAGGUGGCCAACUAAGUCAGACGUGAAAUCCCUCGGCUUAACCGGGGAACUGCGUCUGAUACUGGAUGGCUAGAGUGUGGGAGAGGGAUGCGGAAUUCCAGGUGUAGCGGUGAAAUGCGUAGAUAUCGAGAGGAACACCGGUGGCGAAGGCGGCCUUCUGGACAGUGACUGACGCUGAGACGCGAAAGCGUGGGGAGCAAACAGG